rnacentral:rRNA from 1 species
CGGCGGACGGGUGAGUAACACGUGGAUAACCUACCUAUAAGACUGGGAUAACUUCGGGAAACCGGAGCUAAUACCGGAUAAUAUAUUGAACCGCAUGGUUCAAUAGUGAAAGACGGUUUUGCUGUCACUUAUAGAUGGAUCCGCGCCGCAUUAGCUAGUUGGUAAGGUAACGGCUUACAAAGGCAACGAUGCGUAGCCGACCUGAGAGGGUGAUCGGCCACACUGGAACUGAGACACGGUCCAGACUCCUACGGGAGGCAGCAGUU